AAAGGAGCAAUCCGCUUUGAGAUGGCCUCGCGUCCUAUUAGUUAGUUGGUGAGGUAACGGCUCACCAAGGCGAUGACGGGUAGCCGGUCUGAGAGGAUGUCCGGCCACACUGGAACUGAGACACGGUCCAGACACCUACGGGUGGCAGCAGUCGAGAAUCAUUCACAAUGGGGGAAACCCUGAUGGUGCGACGCCGCGUGGGGGAAUGAAGGUCUUCGGAUUGUAAACCCCUGUCAUGUGGGAGCAAAUUAAAAAGAUAGUACCACAAGAGGAAGAGACGGCUAACUCUGUGCCAGCAGCCGCGGUAUACAGAGGUCUCAAGCGUUGUUCGGAAUCACUGGGCGUAAAGCGUGCGUAGGCUGUUUCGUAAGUCGUGUGUGAAAGGCGCGGGCUCAACCCGCGGACGGCACAUGAUACUGCGAGACUAGAGUAAUGGAGGGGGAACCGGAAUUCUCGGUGUAGCAGUGAAAUGCGUAGAUAUCGAGAGGAACACUCGUGGCGAAGGCGGGUUCCUGGACAUUAACUGACGCUGAGGCACGAAGGCCAGGGGAGCGAAAGGGGUUAGAUACCCCUGUAGUCCUGGCAGUAAACGGUGCACGCUUGGUGUGCAGGGAAUCGACCCCCUGCGUGCCGGAGCUAACGCGUUAAGCGUGCCGCCUGGGGAGUACGGUCGCAAGAUUAAAACUCAAAGAAAUUGACGGGGACCCGCACAAGCGGUGGAGUAUGUGGCUUAAUUCGAUGCAACGCGAAGAACCUUACCUGGGCUUGACAUGUAAUGAACAACAUGUGAAAGCAUGCGACUCUUCGGAGGCGUUACACAGGUGCUGCAUGGCCGUCGUCAGCUCGUGUCGUGAGAUGUUUGGUUAAGUCCAGCAACGAGCGCAACCCCUGUUGCCAGUUACCAGCACGUGAAGGUGGGGACUCUGGCGAGACUGCCCAGAUCAACUGGGAGGAAGGUGGGGACGACGUCAGGUCAGUAUGGCCCUUAUGCCCAGGGCUGCACACGUACUACAAUGCCCAGUACAGAGGGGGCCGAAGCCGCGAGGCGGAGGAAAUCCUAAAAACUGGGCCCAGUUCGGACUGUAGGCUGCAACCCGCCUACACGAAGCCGGAAUCGCUAGUAAUGGCGCAUCAGCUACGGCGCCGUGAAUACGUUCCCGGGUCUUGCACUCACCGCCCGUCA
rnacentral:rRNA from 1 species